GAUGAAGAACGCAGCGAAAUGCGAUGAGUAGUGUGAAUUGCAGAAUUCAGUGAAUCAUCGAGUCUUUGAACGCACAUUGCGCCCCCUGGUAUUCCGGGGGGCAUGCCUGUCCGAGCGUCAUUGCUGCCCUCAAGCACGGCUUGUGUGUUGGGCCUCCGUCCUCCUCCCGGGGGACGGGCCCGAAAGGCAGCGGCGGCACCGCGUCCGGUCCUCGAGCGUAUGGGGCUUCGUCACCCGCUCUUGUAGGCCCGGCCGGCGCUUGCCGACACAUCAAUCUUUUUUCCAGGUUGACCUCGGAUCAGGUAGGGAUACCCGCUGAACUUAAGCAUAUCAAUAAGCGGAGGA
rnacentral:misc_RNA from 1 species